CCGACGGUGAGGGAUGAAAGCUGGGGGAGCAAACCGGAUUAGAUACCCGGGUAGUCCCAGCUGUAAACGAUGCAAACUCGAUGAUGCGUUGGCUUAUUGCUAGCGCAGUGUCGCAGGGAAGCCGUUAAGUUUGCCGCCUGGGAAGUACGUACGCAAGUAUGAAACUUAAAGGAAUUGGCGGGGGAGCACCACAAGGGGUGAAGCCUGCGGUUCAAUUGGAGUCAACGCCUGAAACCUUACCCGGAGAGACAGCAGAAUGAAGGUCAAGCUGAAGACUUUACCAGACAAGCUGAGAGGUGGUGCAUGGCCGUCGCCAGCUCGUGCCGUGAGAUGUCCUGUUAAGUCAGGUAACGAGCGAGAUCCCUGCCUCUAGUUGCCACCAUUACUCUCAGGAGUAGUGGGGCGAAUUAGCGGGACCGCCGCAGUUAAUGCGGAGGAAGGAAGGGGCCACGGCAGGUCAGUAUGCCCCGAAACUCUGGGGCCACACGCGGGCUGCAAUGGUAACGACAAUUGGUUUCGAAUCCGAAAGGAUGAGGUAAUCCUCAAACGUUACCACAGUUAUGACUGAGGGCUGCAACUCGCCCUCACGAAUAUGGAAUCCCUAGUAACUGCGUGUCAUUAUCGCGCGGUGAAUACGUCCCUGCUCCUUGCACACACCGCCCGU
rnacentral:rRNA from 1 species